AGGUGCGAUGAUACCAUCACUAAUGCACUGUAUCCCAUCAUUUCCCAAUAGUUAAGCAUGCUUGGGCGAGAGUAGUACUAGGAUGGGUGAUAUCCGGGGAUGUCCUUGUGUAGUGCCUC
rfam:Lupinus angustifolius cultivar Tanjil chromosome LG03, whole genome shotgun sequence.